rnacentral:rRNA from 1 species
AUUGAACGCUGGCGGCAGGCCUAACACAUGCAAGUCGAGCGAGCGGCGGACGGGUGAGUAAUGUAUGGGGACUGCCCGAUAGAGGGGGAUAACUACUGGAAACAGUGUCUCAAAUCGCACACUGUCGCAUAACCCAUAUGGGAUUAGCUAGUAGGUGAGGUAAUGGCUUACCUAGGCGACGAUCCCUAGCUGGGCUGAGAGGAUGAUCAGCCACACUGGGACUGAGACACGGCCCAGACUCCUACGGAGGCAGCAGUGGGGAAUAUUGCACAAUGGGCGCAAGCCUGAUGCAGCCAUGCCGCGUGUAUGAAGAAGGCCUUAGGGUUGUAAAGUACUUUCAGCCGGGAGGCGUUACCGACAGAAGAAGCACCGGCUAACUCCGUGCCAGCAGCCGCGGUAAUUC